GAAGUUGGAUGUUUAACGGACUGAGCCACCCAGUUGGAAAGAGCUGGUCAGGAGAGAACAGUGGAGUUCCGUGUGCAGUUGCACAGAUUUUCCGAAGUGGGCGUUUUUCACUAUCCUUCGUGGGUCACCCAUAACAGGGCUGAGUCCUCUGACCGGCGUGGACAACUUGCUCAGCUUCCCGCUCAGCGUAAACGUCAGGGUAUCUGCAGAAGCUGCGACUUGUAUUGACCCUUUCACCAACCAAAUGAGCCCUCUGGAGUCCCUAAGAUUGCUCGUAGUAAGAAGAGACAGAGCAUGAGCAGGGGAGCGGCA